AAUAGAUACCCAGGUAGUCCACGCCAUAAACGUUGGAUACUAGGUGUGGCGGUUAUACCAAUGACUGCCGUGCCGAAGCUAACGCAUUAAGUAUCCCGCCUGGGGAGUACGGCCGCAAGGCUAAAACUCAAAGGAAUUGACGGGUCCCCGCACAAGCGGCGGAGCAUGCGGCUUAAUUCGAUGCAACCCGAAGAACCUUACCUGGGUUUGACAUCACGGGAAAAGCUGUAGAAAUACAGUGUCCAUUAGGGCCCGUGACAGGUGGUGCAUGGCUGUCGUCAGCUCGUGUCGUGAGAUGUUGGGUUAAGUCCCGCAACGAGCGCAACCCUUGUCCUAUGUUGCCAGCGGUUCGGCCGGGGACUCAUAGGGAGACUGCCGGGGAUAACUCGGAGGAAGGUGAAGACGACGUCAAGUCAUCAUGCCCCUUAUAUCCAGGGCUGCACGCAUGCUACAAUGGCCGGUACAACGGGCAGCGACCCCGCGAGGGUGAGCGAAUCCUAAAAGCCGGUCUAGUUCGGAUUGAAGUCUGCAACUCGUA
rnacentral:rRNA from 1 species